rnacentral:lncRNA from 1 species
UCUUGCCAACCUGUCUUGCCGCAAAACACGGAGGUCGACACACAUAGGGACUUUCCAGUUGUUAAGCAGUGGUGCUGUUCCUUUACCCUUAUGGGUAAUAGUAGGGUAGCCGGAACUUCGAAAUUCUCGUGCCUAAACUUUGUCAGAGAUCUUUGACAAAGUUAUAUGUGGUACCCGAGGAGUUGAUGGUGCAUAUGGAGAACGGUGAUUGAACAGUAAGAUUCACGUGCUUUCUACUUCACCAGAAAUCUUCGACAGAUUGCCCGUGAUUUCCGCAAAGCUGAUUGUGCAUGUGACAGGUGCUGACGAGG